AUUGAACGCUGGCGGCAUGCCUUACACAUGCAAGUCGAACGACCGCACGGGUGCUUGCACCUGGUGGCGAUUGGCGAACGGGGGAGUAUUACAUCUGGACAUGUCCUGUAGUGGACGAUAGCCCGUCCGAAGCACGAUUACUACCGCAGACGAUUUACGUAAGAAACCUGGUGACCUUCGGGCCUCGGGCUUUGGUGUCAGUCGUAGGCGGAUUAGCUAGUUGGUAGGGUAAAGGCCUACCAAGGCGACGAUCAGUAGCCGAUCUGAGAGGGCGACCAGCCACACUGGGACUGAGACACGGCCCAGACUCCUACGGGAGGCAGCAGUGGGGAAUUUUGGGCAAAGGGCGAAAGCCUGAUGCAGCAACGCCGCGUGAGUGAAGAAGGUCUUCGGGUUGUAAAGCUCUGUUAUCCGGAAAGAAAAUAUGUGCAAGAAUACGGUCAGGGCAUGACGGUACCGAAUGAGAAAGCAACGGCUAACUACGUG
rnacentral:rRNA from 1 species